GACGUAGGAUGCGAGCGUUUUCCGGAAUUAUUGGGCGUAAAGGGAGUGUAGGCGGUUCCUUAAGUUUGGUCUUAAAGACUGGGGCUCAACCCCAGGAGUGGACCGAAUACUGGGGAGCUAGAGGACGUUAGAGGAAAGUGGAAUUCCCAGUGUAGCGGUGAAAUGCGUAGAUAUUGGGAGGAACACCAGUGGCGAAAGCGACUUUCUGGGACGUUCCUGACGCUGAGGCUCGAAAGCUCGGGGAGCAAACAGG
rnacentral:rRNA from 1 species